GGGGGCGAAUGGUCUCGACAGUGGUGUGCAGUCUGACGGUUGCAUGCCGAGGUGCCACAACCUCGCACAAAGUGGCAAAAAUCUAAUUGGCACAAGCCAAGUCGCAUUUGCUGCAUAAGUCAGCAAACAUCUUUUCAAACUUUGUCUGUCGAGUUUGGAAAAGGUGACGGAUUGACAGACUGGUUUUUCCGAUUUAUCCCUGUCAGAAGAACGAGAUCUAAGGGGUUAUACCUUUAGAGAAUCCUAUUCGGAGGAGUCUUUUAAGGUGAAAUAAAAAUCCGAAAAAAGCAUGUAGUAGCUGUCAGUUUGAUGCCUCUGGACGUGGGUUCGAUUCCCACCGCCUCCACCA
rnacentral:tmRNA from 2 species